GAUGUACAAGAAAUAACGUGAUCAAUAACACCUCAGGUGUAAAUAAAUAAAUAAUAUACAAUAUGUUGGCAUAAACUGAGUGCCACUGACCUGGAGAUAAACAUUUGUCAAGACACAGGAAGCCAUCUCUAUUAGAAGAGAAAAGGACUGAAUGUCUCCUCGCUCAGCAAGUGCAGUAAGAGCCUUCUCACACACUUAUCUAUUACCAGCAGAUCAUUAAUGCUUUCAUGAAGCCAGUAUUUGAUUUCACUCGACUCCUCAAGGGAAGCGACUGAACUUCAGAUGAAGACACAGCAGCUCUGAGGAUGGACCAGUUCACCACUCCAGCUCCAUCAUCCGGCUGGAUCCCAGAGACGGGUCAUUAUCUGGAGCAGACAGCCUCUCAGAGGAGUCCUGGCCGUGCGGUAGAGAGACCUGCCAUGCAGCUCCGACGAUUAAGAGACAAACUGACAAGAGCUGGAUGGAUGGACUUGAAUCAACCAAUACACUCUAUGCUUCCUCUGAGACUCUGGUAAAAUAUCUAUUUUCCACUCAUUGUCGAGGACUGUUAUGUACCGCCGACAAAGAACUGGGGACGAAAACAACAGCUAAUUUGCUGAACAAGGCAUUUUUUCUUCUCCCAUAAGAGCCCAGUCUGCAGUGAUAGUGUAAAAUAAAUAAAUCAGCAGUAGUAAAUGGAGCUGAAGACUCCAGGCACUGCUCUUUCUUGCGGUGCCAGAUAUGUACUGAUUUUCAUGCAUAUUUACUUGUGUUUGGCCUCUCGGCUGGGCAGUGUUUUACAGUCAGUGGAGGCUGAAUUGGUUCAGAUCUGAUCGGAUGCACAGCAGAUCAUUCAGGGGAAGAUCUCUGGGGCAAAGCAGACAGGAUCAGUUGAAAAGAUUAUAUACUAGAAAAUACCCUAGCUACUUUGUAUGUGUGUGCAUGCAUUUGCUCAGAAAAAAAGGGGAAAAAAACUUCCAUUUUAAACAACAAAUUUGAACAAAUCGAGUGAUCGAGAAACAUUUUGAGAUAAAUAUCUCAUAAAUGAAGCCACAGCUAAAUGAGGCAUUUGUAAUUAAGGGUUAAUGGAAUGAAUGUUGGG
ensembl:lncRNA